rnacentral:lncRNA from 1 species
CGCUAAAUCAAUGAAAAAGAAAAAUGUCUUGUUAGAUUGGAAGACUUCUCUACUUUGAUUUGAUCUUUCGUUUUUGGAUCGUUGAACCGGACGAAAUCGGACGACGCGUCAACGAGAGGAACUUCUCUUUAACUCGCUAAAGUACCGACGACUAAUUCGAUAAGAAUCCAAGUAUACGCCCCCAACGUAGGGUGAAUUAAAGAAAGUGGAUACUUCGUGUAAAACGUAAUUACGUGUACGAUCAUCCGAGAGAACGAGAGAGAGUGAAUGUCUCUUUCCGCUCGGUCCGGUUUUUGUAUCGAAUUAUUUUUUAAAAAGAAUACGAACUUUCAACGGAGUUUGUUUGUUUCCUAGAAUUUAAGGAUUGUUGAUUGUCAUGUGUGUGAUUGUGUGUAAGAUAUAUAUGUGCCGAUAAUUAUGAUAGCGAAUUAAAAGACCAAUAACAAAAAAAAAAUAGAAAUAAUUUCUCUUACAAUUUACUUUAUAAAAAGUUUGUUUGAAGUAAAUCCGAGGAAACAAUUUUUUCCAUUUUGUUGAUUUAGUCCAUUGUCAUAAUUACCAGCACAUAUGGAUAUAUUCUUGAAAAAGAAGGUGUAUGGUUAAAUUAUAUUUUGUGAGGUGAAAGUGACGGUGCAAAUAUCUGUGACGGUGUUAUGCAAUCUUUGGAUACAGUACGAACGUACGAAAGGAAAUGAAAGGAUCGAA